UGUCCACAGUGAAGACCAGAGUUUCGUUGUCCUCAAGACUGACCUGGGGGGACGUGGCUGCGGGCCAGUGAGGAAGAAAGGUGAGACAACUUGAAGAGAAGGCCAGACAGGGAGCUUCCAGGUCAUAGACAGGUGACUCUCAGAGGGAGUCCUGUGUUGGAGACAAGCAUUCUGACCUGUAGCU